rnacentral:rRNA from 1 species
AAUACUACCUAGUGACCGAUAGCGCAUAGUACCGUGAGGGAAAGGUGAAAAGAACCCCGGGAGGGGAGUGAAAUAGAACCUGAAACCCUGCACUUACAAGCUGUGGGAGCACAUUACUUGUGUGACCGCGUACUUUUUGUAGAACGGGCCAACGAGUUACGUUAAGUAGCAAGGUUAAGCACUUAAGGUGUGGAGCCGUAGCGAAAGCGAGUCUUAAAUGGGCGAUUAAGUUACUUGGCGUAGACCCGAAACCGGGCGACCUAUCCAUGAGCAGGUUGAAGCGAAAGUAAAAUUUCGUGGAGGACCGAACCCACGAGCGUUGAAAAGCUCGGGGAUGACUUGUGGAUAGCGGAGAAAUUCCAAUCGAACCCGGAGAUAGCUGGUUCUCCCCGAAAUAGCUUUAGGGCUAGCCUCAAGCGUAGAGAAACGGAGGUAGAGCACUGAAUGUCCUAGGGGGUAUUGCACUUACCGAAGACUAUCAAACUCCGAAUGCCGUUUUCUUUUACUUGGGAGUCAGACUGUGGGUGAUAAGAUUCAUAGUCAAAAGGGCAACAGCCCAGAUCGUCAGCUAAGGUCCCUAAAUGUACGUUAAGUGGUAAAGGAUGUGGGAUUGCACAGACAACCAGGAUGUUGGCUUAGAAGCAGCCACUCAUUUAAAGAGUGCGUAAUAGCUCACUGGUCGAGUGAUCCUGCGCCGAAAAUUUCCGGGGCUAAAACGUACUACCGAAGCUACGGCAUCAUUUAUGAUGGGUAGGGGAGCUUCGUAUGCAGGCUGAAGCAUGACCGUAAGGACAUGUGGACAGUAUACGAGUGAGAAUGUUGGCAUGAGUAGCGAGACGUGGGUGAGAAUCCCACGGGCCGUAAACCCAAGGUUUCCAGGGGAAGGUUCGUCCGCCCUGGGUUAGUCGGGACCUAAGCCGAGGCCGAAAGGCGUAGGUGAUGGACAACAGGUUGAUAUUCCUGUACCGCCAAUAAGCGUUUGAGAGAUGGAGUGACACAGUAGGAUAAGCUAACCGUACUGUUGGUUAUGUACGGCUAAGCAUUGAGGCAGUCUAAAUAGGCAAAUCCGUUUAGACAAUGCUAGGAUGUGAUGGGGAAGCCCUUCGGGGCGAAGUAGCUGAUUUCACACUGUCAAGAAAAGCUUCUAUCGAGUUUAAAGGCGCCCGUACCGUAAACCGACACAGGUGGGUGAGGAGAGUAUCCUAAGGCCAGCGAGAGAACUAUUGUUAAGGAACUCGGCAAAAUGACCCCGUAACUUAGGGAGAAGGGGUGCCUGUCUAUGACAGGCCGCAGAGAAUAGGCCCAAGCGACUGUUUACCAAAAACACAGGUUUCUGCUAAGUCGCAAGACGAUGUAUAGGAGCUGACGCCUGCCCGGUGCUGGAAGGUUAAGGGGAUCUGUUAGAGCAAUCGAAGCAGUGAACUUAAGCCCCAGUAAACGGCGGCCGUAACUAUAACGGUCCUAAGGUAGCGAAAUUCCUUGUCGGGUAAGUUCCGACCC